rnacentral:tRNA from 1 species
GAGGGUAUAGCUCAGUGGUAGAGUGUGUGUUUAGCAUGCAUGAGGUCCUGGGUUCAACCCCUAGUACCUCCA